rnacentral:rRNA from 1 species
AAACAGGUUUACUCCAAACCCCUGUGAACAUACCAAUUGUUGCCUCGGCGGAUCAGCCCGCUCCCGGUAAAACGGGAGGCCCGCCAGAGGACCCCUAAACUCUGUUUCUAUAUGUAACUUCUGAGUAAAACCAUAAAUAAAUCAAAACUUUCAACAACGGAUCUCUUGGUUCUGGCAUCGAUGAAGAACCGCAACAAAAUGCGAUAAGUAAUGUGAAUUGCAGAAUUCAGUGAAUCAUCGAAUCUUUGAACGCACAUUUGCGCCCGCCCAGUAUUCUGGCGGGCAUGCCUGUUCGAAGCGUCAUUUCAACCCUCAAAGCCCCUCGGGUUUGGUGUUGGGGAUCGGCGAGCCCUUGCGGCAAGCCGGCCCCGAAAUCUAGUGGCGGUCUCGCUGCAGCUUCCAUUGCGUAGUAGUAAAACCCUCGCAACUGGAACGCGGCGCGGCCAAGCCGUUAAACCCCCAACUUCUGAAUGUUGACCUCGGAUCAGGUAGGAAUACCCGCUGAACUUAAGCAUAUCAAUAAGGCGGGAGGAAA